GGCCCUACGGGGUGCAGCAGGCGCGAAAACUUUACAAUGCUGGGAACAGCGAUAAGGGAACCUCGAGUGCCAGGUUACAAAUCUGGCUGUCGUGAUGCCUAAAAAGCAUUAUAUAGCAAGGGCCGGGCAAGACCGGUGCCAGCCGCCGCGGUAACACCGGCGGCUCGAGCGGUAACCGUUAUUAUUGGGUCUAAAGGGUCUGUAGCCGGCCGGAUAAGUCUCUUGGGAAAUCUGGCAGCUCAACUGUCAGGCUUUCAGGGGAUACUGUCUGGCUCGAGGCCGGGAGAGGUGAGAGGUACUUCAGGGGUAGGGGUGAAAUCUUGUAAUCCUUGAAGGACCACCAGUGGCGAAGGCGUCUCACCAGAACGGACCUGACGGCAAGGGACGAAAGCUAGGGGCACGAACCGGAUUAGAUACCCGGGUAGUCCCAGCCGUAAACGAUACUCGCUAGGUGUCGGCCACGGUGCGACCGUUGUCGGUGCCGUAGGGAAGCCGUGAAGCGAGCCACCUGGGAAGUACGGCCGCAAGGCUGAAACUUAAAGGAAUUGGCGGGGGAGCACCACAACGGGUGGAGCUUGCGGUUUAAUUGGAUUCAACGCCGGAAAUCUUA
rnacentral:rRNA from 1 species